GCCAACACAGGAGAGUAACCUAAGAUAUGGUGGAGCUGUGCCAGUUAUGGCUUUAGUCUAUAGGUGUGACGUGAACUCCUUUAUCACAUUUCUUUCAUCUCUACGUAAAUCACAAGAUUAUAACCUGCAGCUCUAUAAAUGUAGGGCCCCUUCUUGGCACUACUGUACAACGCCACAUGCCAGAACAGAAGGGGGCAUGGCUGGCUUUGCCAUCUCUUAUAGGACUGACAAUUGGUUCUCACCCUCCAGUAACAAGAGACAACACCUUAUCUAGAAUUCCCAAGUGUAAUACUAAGAACAGAGCUCACUAUUUCCAGCACCCUUCAUCAUUCAUAUUGUAAGCAUCCAUAAAUACCAAGCUCCACACAAUAUGCAGCAAUAUGUACAAAAGCCAUAAAAAAAACCUCUAUGAGAAAUUGGAGACAUAUGGAAGUACAGUGGAGGGCUCAUGCACCACAGGAGCCCCAUUACGGCUUUGUGGAGCUGUAAUCCGGGGUGUGCACGUGCCCUAAUCCUAAAGCUAAAAUGGCGACUAGAAAUUGCAUGGAAUUGUAGGAAUAUCAGUGUGAGCUGUAUAUGUAGCCUGAUCCUACAAGAGAUCCAUUCUGCCGGCAAUGAUAACACACUAACUUACUUAGCUUCUCGGCUGCUACAUCCCACAAAUCUACACUUGUGAAUGCAGCAAUACUGGAUAACCACUGGUGAGGCUUUUACAAAAACUGAUAUACAUAUCUACCCUUUAUGGGGAGAGUUCUCAAAAUAGGAAUAGUUGACCGGUUGUCUGUAGCAGCCAAACAGAGGCCUUUAAAAAAAAAAGAAACAAUCUGAUUGGCUGCUAUGGGCAACUGGUCAACUUUAACUUUGAAUAAUUUUUGAAAAAUCUCCCCCUAUAUGUUUAUUCAUUAAUCAAUAUGUCCACACCAGCACAAUACCCUCACAAAGACAAAAUGUAUCAGCGCAUCCCCUAAAGAUGCUGAGGCAAGAAGGGACCAGACCAGGACCUCAAAGAACUGUGUACCAGCUGGUGUGAACUGAUGGUCAAAAUGCAGAAUCUAAGUGCAUGCUUGUUUGGGACCAUUGGCUGCUCGUGUCCGCAGUUCCACCUCCUGAUUAGAGAGUGACUGUAACUCCGAAGAAAUUCAAAUCAGUCAGGAAAAGCUCACCACUCUACUAUAGUGAUCAUCACCGCAGCUCAAGGGCCGCAGUGGUCGUUACCUCACUAUGAGCGAAGAUACAGUAGAGCCCACUCAGUGGUUGCAAUGCGGCUGAGACCUGAUUCACUAGUCAGCUGAUGACAGGGAGCCUGUCUGCUUCAAUGGGUGGAGCGAUCGCUUGGUGGGAGAAAGAUCAAUCUGCAACAGCUGUAGGCACCCUGAGUGGAAACCACACUGAUUUGAAUGGAUGCAGCUCAUUUAUGUUUCAAUGGGUGGGGUGGCUGAUUUGUGGGAGGGAGGAAGAUGGAAUUGUGGGAUUUGUAGUAAAAAAAAGAAAAGUCAAACAGGAAAUAGCAGUUCACAAACAGCUAGCCACAGCAUUAUGGUAAUCUCACAACAUGGCCAUUUAGCCCCAAGACAAGUGCAGAUCCUUCCUAAGCAUGUCCACUACUGUCUACCAGACUGGAUACGGAUGAAUACAAUCUGUAAUUUAUGCCGAGAUUAAACUCUAAUGGGGUUAUGUUAUGGACAGAACUUCCAGAUGGCUGCUUACAAUACAUUUCUGAUAUAUAUUGGUAGAAAGUGUCUGAAUUUUUCAACACUGCACAGAUAACUCAAACUACAGUCAGAUAAAUGAACAUAUUCCUGCAAUUUUAAUUACAAUAUAGAGUAAGCUUAAUGCUAAUGAAUGAUAUUUAGACUGAUUUGAGUGACUGUUUUCUGUAUACAUCAAUGUGAAAUAUGUUAAUGCUAUAUAAUUUAUCAAAUAAAUAAUUAUUAUAUUACUAUAUUUCAGAGGCUAAAUAGGACAGAAAGCAAUUUGAAUGUUGAUGACUAUUGUAUAGGGCUAGAGCAAUAUUAAUGUAUGUAUUCUCAAGUAGUUUCCACAUCUUGAUGUGUAAACAUUUCCUAUAGUCAGACACUGGCCACAGACAUCACAUUGUUAGGGCAGAGUAAAGACACAAGAUGGUCAACUGUUUUGAUUCUCUUACACAUUAGAUAGCUGUCAAACCAACAACUGUUUAUCUUACAGCUUUUGGCCCCAAUAACCUACAGGCCGUAUGUAAAUAAUAUUUCAGUUGAACGUGUUAUUAAUAUAAAAGACACCUGUUCACAUCCUCAAACAGUCACACUCCAAACUCCACCAUGGCCAAGACAAAGAGCUGUCAAAGGACACCAGAAACAAAUUUGUAGACCUGUGCCAGGCUGGGAAGACUGAAUCUGCAAUAGGCAAGCAGCUUGGUGUGAAGAAAUCAACUGUGGGUGCAAUUAUCAGAAAAUGAAAGACAUACAAGACCACUGAUAAUCUCCCUCGAUCUGGGUCUAACCCUGUGGCAUCAAAAUGAUCACAAGACCAAAGUAAAAAAGGCUACCAUCAGUAACACACUACACCGCCAUGGACUCAAAUCAUGCAGUGCCAGACGUGUCCCCCUGGUUAUGCCAGUACAUGUCCGGGCCCGCCCCAAGUUUGCUAGAGAGCAUUUGGAUGAUCCAGAAGCGUAUUGGGAGAUUGUAAUAUGGUCAAGAUUGUAAUAUGGUCAAGAUGAAACCAAAGUAGAACUUUGUGGUAAAAACUCAACUCGUCGAGUUUGGAGUUUCAUCCAAAGAACACCAUACCUACUGUGAAGCAUGGGGUGGAAACAUCAUGCUUUGGGGCUGUUUUUCUGCUAAGGGACCAGGACGACUGAUCCAUGUAAAGGAAAGAAUCAAUGGGGCCAUGUAUCGUGGGAUUUUGAGUUAAAUCUUCCUUCCAUCAGCAAGGGCAUUGAAGAUGGAGCAUGGCUGGGUCUUUCAGCAUGACAAUGAUCACAAACACACCACCCAGGCAACAAAGGAGUGGCUUCGUAAGAAGCAUUUCAAGGUCCUGGAGUGGCCUAGCCAGUUUUCAGAUCUCAACCCCAUAGAAAACCUUUCUAGGGAUUUGAAAGUCCGUGUUGCCCAGUGACAGCCCCAAAACAUCACUUCUCCAGAGGAGAUCUGCAGGGAGGAAUAGGCCAAAAUACCAGCAACAGUGUGUGAAAACUUGUGAUGACUUACAGAAAACGUUUGACCUCUCUCAUUGCCAACAAAGGGUAUAUAACAAAGUAUUGCAAUGAACUUUUGUUAUUAACCAGAUACUUAUUUUCCACCAUAAUUUGCAAAUAAAUUCUUAAAAAAUUAGACAAUGUGAUUUUAUGGAUUUUUUUCUCAUUAUGUCUCUCAUAGUUGAGGUAUACCUAUGAUGAAAAUUACAGGCCUCUCUCAUCUUUUUAAGUGGGAGAACUUGGUGGUGGACUAAAUACUUUUUUGCCCCACUGUACAUAUUCUCCCUCAAAUGUGUUAUCUACUGAAUAUGCAUACGUAUGUGAUAGCUGUAGUCAUUUAUUUAGCUGACAGAUGUCUCUCCUGAUCUCUCCCCAUACACAUGAACAAUUGGCUUGGCAUCUUUUGAAUGGGGGGUAAGCUGCUGCUAGACUGUUCUGGUGGCAGCUUAUCUUUGAGAACAAAAGGAUCAUCAACAUUAUCUUUUUGGGGAAAUAUUGGGAGCCCCCCUUACACAUGAGACAAUCAUCUUGUCCUGCCAAAAUCAGCGGGUUGGUAGACUUUAAAAAAAUAAAUAAAUAUUUUAAUUAAUUCAUUCAUUAAUUAAUUUAUUUAUGUUUAUGGGAGCUUUAGCAGUAUUUCACUAGGCAGAGCUUAACUAGGCAGAGCUUAACAGUCCUUAAAUGGCUUGUCUAUUGGCAUAGCUUUUAUAUUAAAAGGCGAAAACUGGGAGGGUGAGAAUAAGAUAAGCAUUCCUCACCAUUCCAAUGCCCCACUGCUCUUUCAAGGCUGCCCGGGCCCCUUCUAAUCUUCAAGAAUCAUGUUCUCUCUUGACACACAAAAAAAGUCCACCUAGCCAAACACUGACUAAGUUCGGUCACCACUGUGCAGAUAGCAUUUCCUUCCAUUACCUGUGUGUUGAGAUGAGAACAGGAAGAGGAGAUUAGCGGGACUUGGUGGAUGCUAAAAUGGCAACAGUGAGUGAUCGGGGAGGUGAGUAACGAUUAUUUUUUACCCAGUAUUUGCCUCUUUUAACCCCCUCAUGACCCAGCAAUUUUUUUUCCGGCUCACGUUUUGUUCCUCCUUACCUUCUAAAACCCAUAUAUUUUUUAUUUUUUAACUAACAAAGUUGUAUUAGGGCUUAUUUUCUGUGUGACAUGUUGUACUUUCCACUAAUAUACUUAUUUUUUUAUCAUAAAAUGUGUUACGAAGCCCCCAAAAAAUUAUAUGUAGGGGAAAAUUGAAAAAAAUAUGGAAUUGCACAAUUUUGUAGGGCGAUCGUUUUUAUUGUGUUCAAAAUAUGGUAAAUCUAACAUGCUAUCUUUAACCCCUUAACGACGCAGGGCGUAAAUGUACGUCCUGGUGAGGUGGUACUUAACGCAUCAUGACGUACAUUUACAUCCUUUACAUCGUAGCGAUGCACGGGUCAUGUGCGGCAGUUCCCAGCUGCUAAUAGCAGCUAGGGAUCCGCCAGUAAUCGCGCACAUCCGUGAUCGCGCGGAUGUCUGCCAUUAACCCCUCAGAUGCUGUGAUCAAUGCAGAUCACGGCAUCUCCGGGAGUGCGGUCAGAAAAAUCCAUGAUCGGAUCGCCCGCAGCGCUGCUGCAGCGAUCGGAUCAUCUGUAAUGGCAGUGUAGGUCCCCUCAUCUCCCAGCGUCUUCUGCUCUGGUCUGAGAUCGAGCAAACCAGAGCAAAAGAUAGCCGAUAAUACUGAUCAGUGCUAUGCCCUAUAGCGCUGAACAGUAUUAGCAAUCAAAAGAUUGCUAUAAAUAGUUCGCUAUGGGGACUAUUAAAGUGUAAAGAUAGAAGUAAAAAAAAGUAAAAAAUAAAACAAAAAAAUUAGAAAAAUCCCCUCCCGCAAUAAAAAUGUAAAUUGUCAGUUUUCCCCAUUUUACCUCCAAAAAGGGUGAAUUUUUUUCCCCAUAAACAUAUUUGGUACCGCCACGUGUGUAAAUAUCCAAACUAUUAAAAUAUAAUGUUAAUUAUCCAAGUUAAUUAUCCCGUACGGUGAACGGCGUGAACGGAAAAAAAAAGUCCAAAAUUGCAAAAAAAUUUUAUUGAUCCAAAUAAAAUUGAUAAUUUUUUUUUUUAAAGUUUUAUAUAUGCAAAUGUGGCAUAAAAAAAAUUACACAACACAGCACAAAAAUUGAGCACUCAUACCGCUGCUUAUACGUAAAAAUGAAAAAGUUAGAGUUCAGCAAAAUAGAGGAAUUUAAAGUGCACUAAUUUGGUUAAAAAGCUUGUGAUUUUUUUUUAAGCGGUAUAAUCAUAGAAAACAAUGUAAUUAUGGGUAUCAUUAAUCGUAUUGACCUACAGAAUAAAGAAAAUGGGUCUAUUUUACUAUAAAGUGUACAGCAUGAAAACAAAACCUUUCAAAAUUGGCAAAAUUGCAGUUUUCUUAUCAAUUUCCGCACACAAAUAGUAUUUUUUUGGGUUGCGCCAUACAUUUUAUGGUAAAAAGUGAUGUCAUUACAAAGAACAACUGGUCGCGCAUAAAACAAGCCCUCAUACUAGUCUGUGGAUGAAAAUAUAAAAGAGUUAUGAUUUUUAGAAAGUAAGGAGGAAAAAAUGAAAACGUAAAAAUAAAGGUCCAAAUUGAGUCCUUAGUGGUUUAAUGUAUGAGUCAGUAUGAUUACAAUGAUACCAAACUUAAUUAAUUUUUGUUUCGUUUUAUGGUUAAAAAACAUUGAAAACAUGAAAAAGGAAAAAAUAAAACUUUGUUCGUUACCAUGUUCCCACCUAUAUGACUUAUUUUUUCCACCUAUGUAGCUGUAUUAGGGCUUGCUUUUUGCGGCAUGAUCUGUAGUUUUUAACGGUACCACUUUUGUGUGGUUCUGGCUUUUAAUUGAAUGUAACCAAAAUUUGUAAUUUUGGCGAUUUGGAAUUUUUUUUGGCGUUUACGCUGAUCACCAUGCAGGAUCAGAAACAUAAUAAUCUAAUAGUUUGGACAAUUAAACACGUGAUGAUACCAAAUAUGUGUAUUUUUUUUUGUACAGUGUUUUAUUAAAAAAAUUAGAAAAGUGAUUAGAAUUUUUAUUAGGGGAGGGAUUUUUUAAAUAUUAUUAUAAACAAUUUUUUACUUUUUUCACACACUUUUUGGCCCUUCCUAGGGGCCUAUCAUAAGCUAUAAUUAGAUGGCUUACAUAGAUCAUUGUAAUGCUUUUGCAUUACAUUGAUCCAUGAAAUCUGUGCUCGAUUGCUAAGGGCUGCCAAAGGAAGCCUUAAAGGGAUACUCCGCCCUAGACAUCUUAUCCCCUAUCCAAGGAUAGGGGAUAAGAUGUCUGAUCGCAGGGUUCCCUCUGCUGGGGACCCCCGCUGAUAGCAGCCGGGAACUGUCACGCAUGACGCAAGCACCGGUCCGAUGCUCGUGGUCAUGACGGAGCGUACAUGUACGUCAUGGUGAGUUAAGUACCACGGCACCAUGACGUUCAUUUACGUCCAUUGUUGUUAACGGGUUAAUGCAAGACUGGCAUUAAAG